GGGCGUUUAACUCAGUUGGUUUAGAGUGUCACCUUGACAGGGUGGAAGUCACUGGUUCGAGUCCAGUAACGCCCA
rnacentral:tRNA from 1 species